UCYUCUUGCUCUUACAAAGAUUUUUUUUCUGUUAGAGCUUUUCUCUCCCUCACGUCACCGAUUUCAAAUCACCCCUGUACUCAAAUGCUGAAACGAGAGUUCUGGAGUGUCUCUCUCCCUGAGGCGUACGUUCAGCUGAUACGGCCGUGGGGCUGCUCUCACUCGUGGUGCUCUGCAGUUGUCUGUCUGGUACCCAGCGAUCAAGCUAUUGCACUGACUGCGGUAGCAGUCAACAAAUCAUUCAAUCUGUGGCUGCCAGCUACCAGUGCCUUUUUGCAUGUGAUCCAUUGGCCUCUCAGGAUCUGCAGACCAGUUCCCUGGGAUUUGCAGCUAAGUGAUCGUUUCUGUUAA
rnacentral:lncRNA from 1 species